UAUAUAAAUAGUCAUGCAAUUAUGGAAAAUAACAUUUCACCGGUGUGUCCUUUUCUUUAAAACCCAACAAGAAGCUUAUCCCAUUAACAUCAUAUUGCACAAAGUUCUUGUUAUCAUUUACACAUAGAUAGGAGUGUUGCUCUAUGGCUGAGCACCAGCCUGGAAGGUUUUUACUGCUCCAGAGGACUCCAAGCAAGUCAUUAGCUAUUCCACAGCUGUUCUUCAUAUGUGAAAUAAAGCAGUGGCCAAAGAGACUCAGGGGCUGCUUUUAAAAGUGAAGGAAGAUGGGGUGUUUGACUGUUUAUGCUUUGGAAAUCCCUGUCAUGCUUUGUGGAGUUUUGAUGGUGAAAUACCCUCAGUAGUGAUUACUUUGGUUGCUGUUAAUGUUCCAGCUAAUGGUAACGGCUUCUGAACAGAGGGAAAAAGAUGAAUUUCCUGCUCUAAACUGGCCACCUCUCUUCCUAGAGGGCUGGAAAGAAUGUCCAACUCUUCCUCUCCAUUGAGACUGAUAGCAAAACAUGGAUGUGUUUAAACCUCUGUAAUGCAUGCUGCACAUCUGAUCACAAUCAUAUCAGCUUGGGAAGCUCACUUCAGUCAAGACAGACAGGAAGCAUUGAAGGCUUUUGCUGCUAUACUUCAAUAAAAUACUUUCAAAUUGAUUUUGUUGUUGUAGUUAUUGUUGUUGCAAGAGGAUUGUUUCAAGAGAGAUAACAAGUUUAAAAAAAAUAAUAAUAAUGGUCAAGUGUUUAGCUUCCUGGGGUGAAAACAUUAAAAGCUGAUGUAUAUUUUUGUGUUAAUAACAGGUACAAGAAGCACUGUUGACUGUACUUUCUGUACCAAAUAAAAUCUUAAAAAUAAAUCACAAGAACAGAAGAAAACAUAAUAUGAUUUUCUAUAACAGAAAUAAAAACUUUUUUUCUUC